CGGAGGGUGCGAGCGUUGUCCGGAAUCACUGGGCGUAAAGGGCGCGUAGGCGGCCUGAUAAGUAGGGGGUGAAAUCCUGCGGCUUAACCGCAGGGCUGCCUUCUAAACUGUCAGGCUGGAGCACAGUAGAGGCAGGUGGAAUUCCCGGUGUAGCGGUGGAAUGCGUAGAGAUCGGGAAGAACAUCAGUGGCGAAGGCGGCCUGCUGGGCUGUUGCUGACGCUGAGGCGCGACAGCGUGGGGGAGCAAACAGGAUUAGAUACCCUGGUAGUCCACGCCGUAAACGAUGGGCACUAGGCGUCGGGGGGAGCGACCCUCCCGGUGCCGUCGCUAACGCAGUAAGUGCCCCGCCUGGGGGAGUACGGCCGCAAGGCUG
rnacentral:rRNA from 1 species